rnacentral:rRNA from 1 species
AUUUAACGCUGGCGGCAGGCCUAACACAUGCAAGUCGAGCGAGCGGCGGACGGGUGAGUAAUGUAUGGGGACUGCCCGCUAGAGGGGGAUAACUACUGGAAACGGUAGCUAAUACCGCAUACUAUCGGAUAACCCAUAUGGGAUUAGCUAGUAGGUGAGGUAAUGGCUCACCUAGGCGACGAUCCCUAGCUGGUCUGAGAGGGUGAUCAGCCACACUGGGACGGAGACACGGCCCAGACUCCUACGGAGGCAGCAGUGGGGAAUAUUGCACAAUGGGAGCAAGCCUGAUGCAGCCAGGCCGCGGGUAUGAAGAAGGCCCUAGGGUUGUAAAGUACUGUCAGUCGGGAGGCGUUACCGACAGAAGAAGCACCGGCUAACUCCGUGCCAGCAGCCGCGGUAAUAC